rnacentral:rRNA from 1 species
GACAGAGGGGGCAAGCGUUGCUCGGAAUUACUGGGCGUAAAGGGCGCGUAGGCGGUGUGUCAAGUCAGGCGUGAAAGCCCCGGGCUCAACCUGGGAACCGCGCUUGAGACUGGCACGCUCGAGUUCGGGAGAGGAUGGUGGAAUUCCCAGUGUAGAGGUGAAAUUCGUAGAUAUUGGGAAGAACACCGAUGGCGAAGGCAGCCAUCUGGACCGACACUGACGCUGAGGCGCGAAAGCGUGGGGAGCAAACAGGAUUGAGAUACCG